UGAAAGCUAUUUAGAUCUGUGUCACGUUGAAAGCUAUUUAGAGUAUCUAAAUAGCUUUCAACGUGACACAGACCUAUAUAGCUUUCA
rnacentral:pre_miRNA from 1 species